UACGAAGGGGGCGAGCGUUGUUCGGAAUACUGGGCGUAAAGGGCGCGCAGGCGCCUUAGAAGUCAGAUGUGAAGCCCCGGGCUCAACCUGGGAAUGGCAUUUGAUACUCUGGAGGCUGGAGUACGGGAGAGGAGAGUGGAAUUCCCAGUUGUAGAGGUGAAAUUCGUAGAUAGUUGGGAAGAAACACCGGUGGCGAAGGCGGCUCUCUGGACCGUAACUGACGCUGAGGCGCGAAAGCGUGGGGAGCAAACAGG
rnacentral:rRNA from 1 species